rnacentral:rRNA from 1 species
GAAACUGAACGACUCUCGACAACGGAUAUCUCGGCUCUCGCAUCGAUGAAGAACGUAGGAAAUGCGAUACUUGGUGUGAAUUGCAGAAUCCCGUGAACCAUCGAGUCUUUGAACGCAAGUUGCGCCCGAAGCCGUCAGGCCGAGGGSA